AGAGUUUGAUCCUGGCUCAGAUUGAACGCUGGCGGCAGGCCUAACACAUGCAAGUCGAGCGGCAGCGGGAAAGUAGCUUGCUACUUUUGCCGGCGAGCGGCGGACGGGUGAGUAAUGCCUGGGAAAUUGCCCAGUCGAGGGGGAUAACAGUUGGAAACGACUGCUAAUACCGCAUACGCCCUACGGGGGAAAGCAGGGGAUCUUCGGGCCUUGCGCGAUUGGAUAUGCCCAGGUGGGAUUAGCUUGUUGGUGAGGUAAUGGCUCACCAAGGCGACGAUCCCUAGCUGGUCUGAGAGGAUGAUCAGCCACACUGGAACCGAGACACGGUCCAGACUCCUACGGGAGGCAGCAGUGGGGAAUAUUGCACAAUGGGGGAAACCCUGAUGCAGCCAUGCCGCGUGUGUGAAGAAGGCCUUCGGGUUGUAAAGCACUUUCAGCGAGGAGGAAAGGUUGAUACCUAAUACGUAUCAGCUGUGACGUUACUCGCAGAAGAAGCACCGGCUAACUCCGUGCCAGCAGCCGCGGUAAUACGGAGGGUGCAAGCGUUAAUCGGAAUUACUGGGCGUAAAGCGCACGCAGGCGGUUGGAUAAGUUAGAUGUGAAAGCCCCGGGNCUCACCUGGGAAUUGCAUUUAAAACUGUCCAGCUAGAG
rnacentral:rRNA from 1 species